CUCUUAUCAAGAGUGGUGGAGGGAAUGGCCCUAUGAAACCCGGCAACCGUCAGCGAUACUGAUAGGUGCUAAAUCCAUCAAAGCUAUCCACGCUUUGAAAGAUGAGAG
rnacentral:ncRNA from 2 species